CCUACGGGAGGCUGCAGUGGGGAAUAUUGGACAAUGGGGGGAACCCUGAUCCAGCCAUGCCGCGUGUGUGAAGAAGGCCCUCGGGUUGUAAAGCACUUUCAGUGAGGAAGAACGCCUGUUGGUUAAUACCCAUCAGGAAAGACAUCACUCACAGAAGAAGCACCGGCUAACUCCGUGCCAGCAGCCGCGGUAAUACGGAGGGUGCGAGCGUUAAUCGGAAUUACUGGGCGUAAAGCGCGCGUAGGUGGCUUGAUAAGCCGGUUGUGAAAGCCCCGGGCUCAACCUGGGAACGGCAUCCGGAACUGUCAAGCUAGAGUGCAAGAGAGGAAGGUAGAAUUCCCGGUGUAGCGGUGAAAUGCGUAGAGAUCGGGAGGAAUACCAGUGGCGAAGGCGGCCUUCUGGACUGACACUGACACUGAGGUGCGAAAGCGUGGGUAGCAAACAGGAUUAGAUACCCUAGUAGUC
rnacentral:rRNA from 1 species